rnacentral:rRNA from 1 species
GAUGAACGCUGGCGGCGUGCCUAAUACAUGCAAGUCGAGCGAACAGACGAGGAGCUUGCUCCUCUGACGUUAGCGGCGGACGGGUGAGUAACACGUGGAUAACCUACCUAUAAGACUGGGAUAACUUCGGGAAACCGGAGCUAAUACCGGAUAAUAUAUUGAACCGCAUGGUUCAAUAGUGAAAGACGGUUUUGCUGUCACUUAUAGAUGGAUCCGCGCCGCAUUAGCUAGUUGGUAAGGUAACGGCUUACCAAGGCAACGAUGCGUAGCCGACCUGAGAGGGUGAUCGGCCACACUGGAACUGAGACACGGUCCAGACUCCGACGGGUGGCAGCAGUAGGGAGUCUGCCGCAAUGGGCGAAAGCCUGGCGGAGCAACGCCGCGUGAGUGAUGAAGGUCUUCGGAUCGUAAAACUCUGUUAUUAGGGAAGAACAAAGGUGUAAGUAACUAUGCACGUCUUGACGGUACCUAAUCAGAAAGCCACGGCUAACUACGUG